rnacentral:rRNA from 1 species
CCAGACUCCUACGGGAGGCAGCAGUGGGGAAUAUUGCGCAAUGGGCGAAAGCCUGACGCAGCGACGCCGCGUGAGGGAUGAAGGUCUUCGGAUCGUAAACCUCUGUCAGCAGGGAAGAACGGUCACUGUGCUAAUCAGCAGUGAAUUGACGGUACCUGCAAAGGACGCACCGGCUAACUACGUGCCAGCAGCCGCGGUAAUACGUAGGGAGCGAGCGUUGUCCGGAAUUACUGGGUGUAAAGGGAGCGUAGGCGGGACUGCAAGUUGGGUGUCAAAUCUACCGGCUCAACCGGUGGCCGCACUCAAAACUGCAGUUCUUGAGUGAAGGAGAGGCAGGCGGAAUUCCUAGUGGAGCGGUGAAAUGCGUAGAUAUUAGGAGGAACACCAGUGGCGAAGGCGGCUUACUGGACAGUAACUGACGUUGAGGCUCGAAAGCGUGGGGAGCAAACAGGAUUAGAUACCCGGGUAU